CAAUAUGUCAGGUAAAGAAAUACUGAGACAGAAGAAUUGGCUCCAAUUUCCAGGAGAAAUCUCUCCACAUUCCAUGGAAUACAGCCUCCGUGGAAUAGUCUGCAGGAUUCUCUUGGAAAGCACAACAGGGAGCUGAUUUAUUAUAUUGGGAGUCAGCAAAAGUUUGAUGAUGAGAAGAAGUUUAGUAUGGCAAACUGAUCUGCUUUAAAAGCCUGAAAAGCACACAGUGUUGAAUCCAGGAUCUGCUUUCUGCAAGAAGGGAUAUUUGACGAGAGGAAGGGCUUUGCUCAUUGAAGGCCUCUCCACUUGGGUUUUUUCAGUAUCUGCUCAUGCACAAUCUGUAGUUCUGGUGCUGUGGGAAGGAUGGAAUGGGGAAGCCCACUCCUACUAAUGCAAUUCAUCCAGUGUCAAUCUGUAACCAAAGCACGGCUACCAGGCAGUGGGUUCUGCCCACUGAUUCCAUCCUGCCACGGCAUCUCUGCUGGCUUCACCCCUCUCUGGCCAAGUGUUGGUGAGGGAAUGUUCCUAGAAAGCAGCCAGCUGGGUACAUAAAGUCACCUCCUCACUAUCUGAAACCCCGCAUGGCCACAGUCCCAGCUCACAGGGGAAGUCUAUACGGGCACAGAAGCAUGGAAGCUCCUUUCAACAGACAUUCCUUGAGGGGCUCCCAGGAGGCAGGACCAAUGAGGGAUUUUGCUCUAGCCCUCCACUGGAUGGUUCAUUGUGGAUGAGCAAAUGCCCAGAGUAGACUAUUAUAUGUCCUUGUUCUGAACAACAUUUCCUAUUUUUUUCUUUUGCUUCAUUACUUUUAGCAUGUAUUUUAAUUUAUAAUAAAAUACAUAAUAAAAUGAAGACAACAGAAUGAAGAAUAUUUGUUUUUGGCAACUUAGAUCAUCCAAUAUUUGAAUUCCGAUGUCAAAGUAAAAGUUUUGUAAGACAACCCCAUAAUUAGAAGCAGCACUGCUAAAGUGAUAUUGUUCCUGUGAAUAGCUAAUUUCAGAAUUUUAAAGAGCUUAAAAAAAGGAAAAUGAUAUAUUUAAGAUAGGCUUUUGUGAGACCUGAACUCCGUGUUCAUCA